CAUGUCUAUGACCUACGCCAUGACUCACGGCAACACCCCAUCCUUAACCCACAGAGCGAGGCCAGGGAUCAAACCUGCAACCUCAUGGUUCCUAGUCAGAUUCGUUUCCACUGUGCCACAAUGGAAACUCCCAACCAUAAAAUUUAAAUAAACAAAUUAAUUUAAAGUCUUCCUGUACUGUGAAAAUGAUGGGUGUCAGUAACCUAUAUUCUCUAAGCUUAGAAACAUCAGAAGAAAGACAAUUUAAAAAAAAGAAAAAAGAUAGAGCCAAAUAUCCAACUGCCAAGAACUGUCAAGUAAAAAGGCAAACAUUGUACGUAGUAUGCUAUUGUUCGAGGUUUUUUAAAAGAGCAAAGAGCUAUCUAUGUACAUGUCAUCUUGCAUCCGCAGACUGACUUUGGCAGAAACUAUGACAAUGCUGCCUCUGGAGAGGGGGCUGGGAGGCUGGGGACAGGAAUGAGAGCGCGAGGUGUUUUAAAUCACUGCAUAUCCCCUUUUUACCUUUUGAAUUUUACAUAAUGUACAUGUUUUGCCUGUUUUAUAUUUGUAAAAUUAGAUUGACUAACUUGGGGGGAGGGGAAAGCAAUACAACAUUUAAAAACUAUGGAAACAUACCCCUUUCAGUGUGAAGCCACCACAGGUUUCUGAGCUGAUCUGUGACUUGGCUCUUUCCAAAAGCUGGGGUUGUGGCUUGUUCUCAUUGGAUGCUGAUUGGGGGUGGGGGCACAUUGGGAGUCAAUUUUGAGAGCUCUUCAAAGGAGAAAACCCACAAGAGUUAUUGGAGAAAUGAGACAAACUUUAAGUGAAAUCUUUGGAGUGGGGUGGAAGACGUGGCUAAGGAGUACAGCUGUGGGGGCUGGUUGUUUUCAGGAGGAAAAGCCUCGGACAAGUGAAAUGGCAGAGACUGGCUAUUGUGCCUUUGGAGGGGAUUACUUUGAAUGGUCUGGAAAAGCUGAGAGGACACCAGGUCUGAUCCCUGUCCCCAGCCUACACUGUGAUGUCAUGGUUGGUAUAUUCUUAGUUAUCUCUUUCUUCCCUGGGACUCAUAGCCUACUUUUGCUCCCUUUUAAGUUAAAAACUAAACCUUAAUUAUACAGAGAGAAUCACUAGAUGGGACAUGAUUCGCCAAGAAAGUGGUGGGGGGGAGGGAGGGUGAUAACAACACAUUGACCAUCGAUAAAUCAGCUCCCAGGCUGUCCUGUCCUGUGACCUAUGUAAUGGGUAUUCUCUAGACCCUCAGCUAGGCAGAAAGCUCUUCAAGACUUGGGAUUUUUUCUUUCUUCCCUGCCCAGUCCCUGUCCCACUUCUCUCACACUUGGUACUAUUAAGCUCUUAAUAAUAACAAUGACAAACACUGGGCACCUGCUCUGUGCAGUCCAGGUGUUGAAGUUUCAUUCUGGUCGACACAGGCUGGGCCCCUGAAGACCUCUGUCUUCUCAGCUCCAACACUUCCCUCUCUGGGAUCCGACCACACCAGCCUUUUUUCCGUUUCUUGAACCCACUGAACCUGUCCCCAUUCAGGGCCUUUGCACGUGCAGUUUCCUCUGCCUCUAACUCUCAGCAGGGUCAACUCUGCUUGGUUGAAAGGCCAACCAAGGAUAGAGUAGUCAUCCUUGGACAGGGCGAUGCAGACCAUACUUGUCGUCUUGAUAGGCAUGAGUCUCAAUGGCUGAGGGAUGAAGGAAGCCCAAAUUCAAGCACAAAGGAGACAACAUAGAGGGAAUAAGCAGUACUUACAAAAAUUUUGCCAUGAAGUGAAGCAGAAAAAUAAGGUGAUGGCAGGAGAGAGAUACGGGAUCCAGAAACAUUUUUGUUUGUUUGCUUGUUUCCUUUUAAGUAGGAAGAGGUAGGAGAGUACGUCUCCAUGUGGGUAGAAAUGACACAGGACUCUGGUACAGGACCCAGAUGCAGGGGAGAGAGGAGAUAAUUUCCAGGAAGAGAAUUUUUGGACAGGAGCAAAAUGAAAUGGGUUCUGAAAGAAAAAUUGUAGAUUGCAUUUGCUCAGUGAAUUUAAUGCUUACAAAAUCCUACGAGGUAGAUAUCAUUAUUCUUCUUAUUUUAUAGAUGAGGAAUAGAAGAGCCAGAGAUGUGAAGUAUCUCACCCAAGACCACACUGCAGGCAAGCAGAGGAGUUGGUGUUUGAAGCGAGAUUCUGACUCCUGGUUUAUUUUAUAAGAUUUGGAGUUUCCGUUGUGGCUCAGCAUGUUACAAACCUGACGAGUAUCCAUGAGGAUGCAGGUUCAAUCCCUGGCCCUGCUCAGUGGGUUAUGGAUCUUGCGUUGCCAUGAGCUGUGGUGUAGGUCACAGGUGCAGCUUGGAGCUGGCGUUGCUCUGGCUGUGGCAUAGUCUGGCAUCUGCAGCUCCAAUCCGACCCCUAGCCUGGGAACUUACAUAUGCCAAGGGUGUGGCCAUAAAAAGAAAGAAAAAAAAAAGAUUGGGUACAAGUUUAUGAAAUGUGAGAGGUCAGCUCCUUAAAUCAGAGAAAAGCCUGAGCAUUUCAGAGAUAAACCUAAAACCCAAUGCUCACAAUUCAGGUUUUAGAGAAAUGGAAUAGCUCCAAUGCAUUAUAAACAGAAACAUUUUCCAUAUUUUGUUUAGUUGCCCCCCCAAAACACAUGCUGGCAAUGUUCUGCUUUACAACUGAGAAGUGGACACUUGAGGGUUUGCUCUGAGCCACGUUUCUGAUUUGUAUGUUUUUCUGAAUGUGUGUUACACUUCACAAGAGUUUUAGAAAUAAACCUGAACUGUCUUAUUGAUGUGUAACCA
ensembl:lncRNA